rnacentral:miRNA from 1 species
UAACCUGAUCAGCCCCGGGGUU